rnacentral:rRNA from 1 species
GAUGAACGCUGGCGGCGUGCCUAAUACAUGCAAGUCGAGCGAACAGACGAGGAGCUUGCUCCUCUGACGUUAGCGGCGGACGGGUGAGUAACACGUGGAUAACCUACCUAUAAGACUGGGAUAACUUCGGGAAACCGGAGCUAAUACCGGAUAAUAUAUUGAACCGCAUGGUUCAAUAGUGAAAGACGGUUUUGCUGUCACUUAUAGAUGGAUCCGCGCCGCAUUAGCUAGUUGGUAAGGUAACGGCUUACCAAGGCAACGAUGCGUAGCCGACCUGAGAGGGUGAUCGGCCACACUGGAACUGAGACACGGUCCAGACUCCUAAGGGAGGCAGCAGUAGGGAAUCUGACGCAAUGGGCGAAAGCCUGACGGAGCAAGGCCGCGUGAGUGAUGAAGGUCUUCGGAUCGUAAAACUCUGUUAUUAGGGAAGAACAAAUGUGUAAGUAACUAUGCACGUCUUGACGGUACCUAAUCAGAAAGCCACGGCUAACUACGUG